rnacentral:lncRNA from 1 species
AACCCCAGACUUGCAGUGGUAGUUAUAUUGCUCUCUGAUACUAUAAUGUAUCCCACUAUUGGUGAGUCCAGGCUGAGUACAGCCAACUAGUAAACCCUCUGAAAUGUGGGAUUAUAAGAGGAAGAAUGCACCCAGGAGAUAAGGAAAGUAAAAUUUGUAGAGUGGAACUUGAGGUCAACCUUAAUUGAUGAUGUAAAAGCUGGCUCCUUCAUAUGCAGCCCAGGCUAGUGUUCCAAAUUUCUCUUUCACUCACCCUCACCACCCACAUUUUAUUUUGUAAAAAAAUAUAAAUUUUACUUUUUAUAUCAAUCAUAAUAUAACUACGUGUACCCUUUAGCCAUUACACUGUUUGAAAAGUAGAUGAGCCCUCUAUUUGAUCACUUAGUCACCUCACAUCAUUUUCCCAUCCCUUCUCAUGUCUUAGACUCCAUAAGUAUUUGGGUUCUUUGUUUAAUGCUACCAUAUGGCUUUUCUCAUUUGUCUGGAUUUUCAUUCCCCAUCUUUGCACAGAUAAACCCAGUGUUUGUAUUUUACCAUUACACAGUAUUUAUAAAAUCAGUAACUAUGAAGACCCCUGACAUUUACUGUAACAGACUUCUCUAUUGGCAGUCGUCAUAACCUAGGAAACAAGGAGGGGCAUGAGAAGGAGACUAUUCUCUCAGACUUGGAGUUCACUCAAAGCCCCAGCUGAUUCUAUGUUCUUAAAAAAUUGUCAGUGUGUCCUGUACAUUGUCAUCUCUUCUUACUCUCCAGACAGAAUUUAUCCAAAUUGAUGCAUUAGUGUCUAAAGAGGAUGAACAAAGUCUCCAAUGAGGCAGGAACACAUAACUCAUUUACCCAGUUUGUAAUACUGGAAGACUGGUGAAUAGUAUUUCAAAACUUACAUCCAAAUGCCUUUACCCAAAGUUGAAAAUGAUUCAAAUAUUCAUAUAAUUGGAAAUUCCUAUUAUUCCACUUUGCUGUAUGCAUAGCAGAAGGUCUCUAAGACCUAAUGAAAAUCUUUCUAUUUGUGCAAGUUAAAAGAUUCUGCAUUUUCCCGUUUUCCAUGAUGGUGUACAUACUUUAAACACCAAAAGAUUAAGAAGCUUAGAAAAAUUGUAUAGGGGUGACCUGAAUAGAUAAAUAAAAGUGUUAAUCUGUGAGAAGAAAGUUUGAAUUAGAAAUUGGCUCAUUAGAAGUGAUGGUAUUAUGGAACAAGUAAGUAGAUAAGGAUGGAAGAUUAGGUCCACCGACAGCAGAGUCUUAAUAAUUUGCCAUACUAUCACAUUGAUCAACUUAGUGCCUACAAAUUGUGUAUUAUUAGUGGAAAAUGUAGAAAGUCUAUCAGUAAUGUGUAAAAUAGAAAAGCAAACUAGCACUUUACUUGGUACAAUAUAAUGGGGCCAAUGACCAAUGAACCAUGAUAGUAGAAACCACAUUUUAAAAUUAAUAAAUGAAAGAAUUGCAUGCCCUUUAAAUGACCCACGUGUCCUUUUUUUUAUUAUUAUUACUUUCAUGGCUCUUUACAUCCAAGCAUUUGCUCAUUUUUCACAGUUUUAAUAAUGAGUACUAGUCAGCAUUGCUUAAUUUGUGCACAGGGGAGGCAAUACUUACAGCAAAGCAAUAAGUGAAACAAUUCCUGUUUUUGUCAUGGCUCCUUUUUCGUGAGGUCUAGGAGCAAAUUGAGGAUCAUAAUUCUUUUGGAAUGGAUAAAAUAAUAUUUUAGCAUCUUUUACUCUCAAAUGCCAAAUGUGAUUAUUCUGUCUAGUAGGAAUGGGGUAUUCUUGGCUUUAUCUAAUUAUAUUGUUCAUAUUGAAAAAUACACCAAAUUAUUUUUUAGAUAUUGCCACUACUCUAAAAAGACCUCAUUCUCUCUCUCUCUCUCAUUGGCAGUUUUUUUCCUUUUGAUUCCUUUUGAUUUCUCUAUUCUGUUCCAAACUACUUAGAGACCCUAAUAGACAUUGCUUUUCUUUGUCACAAUGGAGUGAAAUUUAUAUUUUAUUAAUCUUUUAUUUUCCAAAUCCUUGAUAAACAAAAGCUUUUCCAAAAAUAUUUAAAUGAUUCUCAAGGGUUAUGUGUGUUCUAUGGCUAUACCAGAGAACUUUUUGACUCUCAUUCAAAUAAAAUUCCAGUUUGGGUGGAUGCUUUUUUAUUCUGUUUUCCAUGACUUGAAUUAAAGUUACUGAAAUGUUGAUCCUAAAAUAAGCAUUAAAAAAAUUCUGUGUCAUCUGGUCGAUUUAAUAGUAGUGAAAGGCACUGUCCCUGUUAGGAUCUGGGCUAUUGUGUCUUACCCUAGGUGACUUGUCUUAUAAAGACAAAUAGAGAUGACACUCUCUGCCUGGUUCCUUAUACCUGAGGGUAAGGCUUGCAAAAAUGAGAAAAUAUCUGUGAAGUGUUUUGAGAUCUCUAGGUAAAAAGAAAUCUAUAGGUGAAAGCCAUCCUUGUUAUUAUAAAUGGAAAUAUAAAAGAUACCAGGGAGGUAAUUAUAGAAUCCAGAUCAUUUUCCAAAAACAUGGCAGUGCCCUUUCCCUCCCACCACCUACAAGAAAAGAGAAAACUCUGCUUUGAACCACUAAAGUGGGUGUAGGGAACACUCCUUAAACAUCUGUGCUUUGGAUAAUAUUAUUACAGACAUCAAUAGAUUUCCCCACUGGCUUUAUAUAAAUGAACAUUUACUUUGACAGGUCAUUCAAUAUGCUCCAUGCUGUCCAGCCAACAUACACUAUGGGAUGAAAUUAGAGAGCAGUCAGUUUUUGUCAGCAGGAAUAUAUAAUUACGAUGUGUACCAAGUGUCUACCUGGGAGCUCCAUUAAAUUACUGUGUAAUUAAAAGGCAGUUUGUUUCUUCUCAAGCUACUACUUUUCUCAGAGUAUAUGGAACAUUCCUACGGCAGUUAUAGGAAUCCUGAUAUUUUAUAGAGGAGUCCAGAACACGAUGAAUAACCUCAAAGUAUAUAGAUGCCUGUUGCCUUCAUUAACCAUUCAUUGAGGGUCAAUUAAUUCUCACCUAUUUUUAUUUAUUUAUUUUCUUUUUUGGCUACCCCUUGGCAUAUGGAGUUCCUGGGCCAUUGUUCAGACCCGAGCCACAGUUGCAGCCUUUGCCACAGCUGUGGCAAGGAAGGAUACUUUAACCCACUGUUCCUGACAAGGGAUCUAACCUGUGUCCUGAUGCUGCAGAGACACCAUCCAUACUAUUUCGUCACAGCAGGAACUCCAAUUCCCAUAUAAUUUGUUUUGCUAUUUCAAAUAAAAAAUGCUUUGCUCUUUCUAGUGGCCAAACACUUAGAAUUGGAUAACAUAGCAAAUAGUUUAUCACAUUUAUAAAAAUGAUACAACACCCUGCCUCCACUUUUUCAUUUAGUGAAAAGAGUACAGUGCGUUUUGGAAAAUGUGCUCCUGAAAAUGCCAGGCUUAUAGUCGAUGUUGGAUCCUGUUCCACUUCAGAAAUUCCAGCUUCAGUGAUAAAAGCACAGCAGCAGAUUGUCAGAUUUGUUAUUUAUUUAUUCAUUUUUUGGUCUUGCCUGUGGCACAUGGAAGUUCCUAGACCAGUGAUGGAACUUGAACCAUAGCAGUUACCUGAGCCACAGCAGUGAUAACACUGGCUUUUUAAUCACUAGGCCACCAGGGAACUCUCUUGUUAUGCAUUUAAAUAAACAGAUAUUAAGUAGAUAAUUGAUAAAUAGUGACAAAAGAGCAUUCAGCAAUAGUUUUUUUAUUUUAUAAUGAUUUUUAUUUUUUCCACAGUAAUAAAAUCUAGCCAAAGUUUUUUAAUGUUUUCUUCACAUUUGGUUAUAACUAUAAGGCAGGGACUACAAAGAUCUUGACUGUGCUUCAAAGUGCAUAUGACUAAGGACAAUACUUUUCAAUUGGAGAUGCUUAUAUAGUCCAAAUUUCAAGUCACCCUAGAAAAUAUUAAGGGGAAACAAAUGGCUGCAGCAGAAAUUUGCAAUUCAAAUAGUGCCAUUUUCUCUUUUGUGCAGCAAAUUCUUCUUUCAUUAAAAAAGGGGGAAAAAAGGAGAAAAUAACCUCAUGCUGUGAAAACCUACCAUACAGAUUAAGGUUGUAAUAGGUGUUAAUUGCUUUAUCAUAGCACUAUUGUUUUUCAUGUAAUUUUAUCAAUACUUCUCAGAGUUCAGUUUAUGUUUUAAAAUAUUUUGCAUUUAAUCAUAAUUACCUGCACUUUUCUCAUACCCUUUUGCAAUUCUGGUUAUUAAGGUCCUCUGUGUAAUGAAAUAUGUGUGUUAACAUUUAUUGGGUAUUGCUUUUAAUCUUUUCUGCAUUUAUACUUGAGCCUUCAGUAAAGCAGUGCAGGGGUACAGCCCCAUGAAAUUUCCUCAUGGGGAUUUUUUGUCCUUCAAGAAAAUUUUAAGAUUUACAUUGUUAAUUUUUCUAUCAAAGCAUAUAUCAAAAUGUCACAUGUAGAUCUUGCUACAGUGCCCCAAGUCAGCUGAAUAAGAGGUGAGUUCAGCCACCUAAAAGACAUAAAGAGAUGGGUGCAAAAGGGAGGAAAUCAUUGAAGGUAAUUUUACAGUUCUGCAAAAGAGAGCUAAGGUAUGCCCUGGAAUUCUGCAUAGGAGGUGGAAUUUAUUUUCCAAACAUCUUCCAGGAUUCAUCCUGUGGUGAAGAUUGAUUUUUCAGGUGUAAAGAAACUUUGGCAGAGAGGAAAAUAAGUGCUACAUAGAAGAUGAAAAUAGGAGGUAGAGGAUCUGUCCAUAUCACUCUAAAACAAGUUUGCACAGUAAAAAUAAAGGCACCUGAGUAUUAUGGCACAUACAUUGGGCUGGGCACAAAUUUGAUUAUUUUUCUAAACUAACAGAUUUGCUUUGGGAUUACACGGACCGAGUCUGAGUAGAUUAUAAGGGAAAGUAAUGCCUCACUUCCCUCCCCAGCACAUAUACAAGUUGUGCAUCUGAUAUACACACAUGCACAGGCAAACACCUUUUUUAUAACCAACAUACGAUUUGCAUUUUGAACAGUGAAUGAAGUUUGGAGAAAUAGAAAAUAAUUACACUUAUGUUUAAGCUCCAAGAAGGACAUACACACACAUAUAACGCAAUGAGUGUUUCACAUACCUUCUUUUCAUCUUCGUUUGUAUAUAUAUAUUUUCACUGCUGGAAUUUUUGUUCUUGCUCCCUACUUCUCUUCCUACUGUUGUGUAUGUGUUGCCUUAGAGGAGGGAUGGAAGGUAGACAAUGUCUAAGUUCUCCUGGCUUUGCUUUCUGCAAACUAAAACUUUGUAAAAACACAGAGCUUUUAGAACCUCAGUAAAAUGGUGGGGAGAAACAGAAUGAAAAAGAUCCUGCUGUCUUAGGAAACAGAUUCCCUAUGAAUCAGAAGUAAGGAAAGAAAAUAUGUUGAAAUGCUGAAAAUAAGGUUCCCUUUCCCUUUCUCACAGGAAGCCCAUGAAAACCUGUUCAUGAUAUUAAUUAGGCAGGACCACAGAGAGUUUUCAGUGAGUCCUAGGUCUUUGGUAACACCAUAGCAUCAGAAAUAACCCCAUUAAUCCAACAUUGGCUGGGCUACGUCAGAGCUGGUAGCCCUUAAGGUGUCAUGAAGACAAAUAGUGCAAAUGAAGUUGCUGUUAAUCUAUGCUGACUAAUGACUAUAAAAAUAAAUUUCCCAUUUGCCAAUGCCUUAGCUCUAUGUAGCCUUCCCAGUAACAUGAUAUAACCCCAAAGAACUCUCAGAGACUAUGUAUCAAUUUUCCUGAAAAGGGAAAAAUUUCCCCUUUUCUCUAACCCUAGUAGAUGAAGGCUUGAGACUGAAAUAAUUUUAUAAUACAAAAUACAAUAUACAAAGUUAAGAAUACAGGUAAUGAACAUGAAAAGAGUCUAAGCACAGUAGAAAAGAGGAUUAGUGAAUUGAAUGACAAGGCAAUAGAAUUUCAACUGAAGCACAAGAAGAAAAUAGAAGAGAACAGUGAGUAAAAGACAUAGAAAUCCACCAUAUGAUUUCACUUAUAUCUGGAAUCUAAUAUAUGGCACAAAUGAAUCUUUUCACAGAAAAGAAAAUCAUGGACAUGGAGAACAGACUUGUGGUUGCCAAGAGGGAAGAGGGGGAGUGGGAUGGACUGGAAAUUUGGGGUUAAUAGAUGUAAACUAUUGCCUUUGGAAUGGGUAAGCAAAGGGAUUCUGCUGUAUAGCACUGGGAAGUAUGUCUGGUCCUUUGUGAUGGAGCAUGAUAAUGUGAGAAAAUGAAUGCAUACAUGUAUGUGUGACUAGAUCACCUCAUUUUGCAGUAGAAAAUUGACAGAACACUGUAAACCAGCUAUAAUGGAAAAAACAAAAAUCAUUAUUAAAAAAUAUAACAAAAAAAAUAGAGAAUUCCCCCAGACUGAUAAAAGAUCUCAACCCACGUAUUUCAGAAGAUCAGUGAAACCUAGAUGGGAGAAAUACAAAGAAAAUCACACAGAUACUUCAUAGUUAAAUUGUUGAAAAUCAAAGUUAAAGAAAAAAAGCCUUAAAGCAGACAAGGGAAAUAGAUACAUUAUCUUCAAAGAAGCAGCAGUAAAACUGAUAUCCAACUUUUCAACAGAAACUAUGAAUCCAGAAAACAAUAAAAAGGCAUU